rnacentral:rRNA from 1 species
AGAGUUUGAUCCUGGCUCAGAUUGAACGCUGGCGGCAUGCCUUACACAUGCAAGUCGAACGGCAGCACGAGAGCUCGCUCUUGGUGGCGAGUGGCGAACGGGUGAGUAAUAUAUCGGAACGUACCCUAGAGUGGGGGAUAACGUAGCGAAAGUUACGCUAAUACCGCAUACGAUCUACGGAUGAAAGUGGGGGAUCGCAAGACCUCAUGCUCAUGGAGCGGCCGAUAUCUGAUUAGCUAGUUGGUGGGGUAAAAGCUCACCAAGGCGACGAUCAGUAGCUGGUCUGAGAGGACGACCAGCCACACUGGAACUGAGACACGGUCCAGACUCCUACGGGAGGCAGCAGUGGGGAAUUUUGGACAAUGGGCGCAAGCCUGAUCCAGCAAUGCCGCGUGAGUGAAGAAGGCCUUCGGGUUGUAAAGCUCUUUUGUCAGGGAAGAAACGGUGGACUCUAAUACAGAUCACUAAUGACGGUACCUGAAGAAUAAGCACCGGCUAACUACGUGCCAGCAGCCGCGGUAAUACGUAGGGUGCAAGCGUUAAUCGGAAUUACUGGGCGUAAAGCGUGCGCAGGCGGUUGUGCAAGACAGAUGUGAAAUCCCCGGGCUCAACCUGGGAAUUGCAUUUGUGACUGCACGGCUAGAGUGUGUCAGAGGGGGGUAGAAUUCCACGUGUAGCAGUGAAAUGCGUAGAGAUGUGGAGGAAUACCGAUGGCGAAGGCAGCCCCCUGGGAUAACACUGACGCUCAUGCACGAAAGCGUGGGGAGCAAACAGGAUUAGAUACCCUGGUAGUCCACGCCCUAAACGAUGUCUACUAGUUGUCGGGUCUUAAUUGACUUGGUAACGCAGCUAACGCGUGAAGUAGACCGCCUGGGGAGUACGGUCGCAAGGUUAAAACUCAAAGGAAUUGACGGGGACCCGCACAAGCGGUGGAUGAUGUGGAUUAAUUCGAUGCAACGCGAAAAACCUUACCUACCCUUGACAUGUCUGGAAUCCUUGAGAGAUCAGGGAGUGCUCGAAAGAGAAUCAGAACACAGGUGCUGCAUGGCUGUCGUCAGCUCGUGUCGUGAGAUGUUGGGUUAAGUCCCGCAACGAGCGCAACCCUUGUCAUUAGUUGCUACGAAAGGGCACUCUAAUGAGACUGCCGGUGACAAACCGGAGGAAGGUGGGGAUGACGUCAAGUCCUCAUGGCCCUUAUGGGUAGGGCUUCACACGUCAUACAAUGGUACAUACAGAGGGCCGCCAACCCGCGAGGGGGAGCUAAUCCCAGAAAGUGUAUCGUAGUCCGGAUUGUAGUCUGCAACUCGACUACAUGAAGUUGGAAUCGCUAGUAAUCGCGGAUCAGCAUGUCGCGGUGAAUACGUUCCCGGGUCUUGUACACACCGCCCGUCACACCAUGGGAGCGGGUUUCACCAGAAGUGGGUAGCCUAACCGCAAGGAGGGCGCUCACCACGGUGGGAUUCGUGACUGGGGUGAAGUCGUAACAAGGUA